rnacentral:rRNA from 1 species
GUCUACGAGAGUAGUUAGUACGUAUGGCUCAGAACGAACGCUGCGGCGAUGGAUAGGCAUGCAAGUCAACGGGAGCAGCAAUGCUCCAGUGGCGCAAGGGUGAGGAACACGUGAACAACCUGCCUUCGAGUUGGGGAUAGCUUCUGGAAACGGGAGAUAAUACCGAAUAACAUCAUUUGGUCGCAUGACCGGAUGAUCAAAGCAGCAAUGCGCUUGAAGAGGGGUUCGCGUCCCAUUAGCUAGUUGGUGAGGUAACGGCCCACCAAGGCGAUGAUGGGUAGCUGGUCUGAGAGGACGACCAGCCACAUUGGGACUGAGAUACUGCCCAGACUCCUACGGGAGGCUGCAGUCGAGAAUUUUGGGCAAUGGACGAAAGUCUGACCCAAGCAAUGCCGCGUGCGGGAUGAAGGUCUUCGGAUUGUAAACCGCUGUCAAGAGGGACGAAAAAUGACGGUACCUCUGGAGGAAGCCACGGCUAACUACGUGCCAGCCGCUGC